rnacentral:rRNA from 1 species
GACAGAGGGGGCAAGCGUUGUCCGGAAUUAUUGGGCGUAAAGGGCUCGUAGGCGGUUUGUCGCGUCGGGAGUGAAAACCUUGGGCUUAACUCAGGGCUUGCUUUCGAUACGGGCAGACUAGAGGUAUGCAGGGGAGAACGGAAUUCCUGGUGUAGCGGUGAAAUGCGCAGAUAUCUGGAGGAACACCGGUGGCGAAGGCGGCAUCCUGGACCGAGAUUGACGCUGAGGCGCGAAAGCCAGGGGAGCAAACGGG